CUUGCAAAAUCUCCAGUUACUGCAGUUUAGUUCGAAACGGGUCACGACUCGUAUAAAAAAUGGAUCAUGUGAAAGCUGCGAUUGCUAUUGUAGCAGGCAUAGUUGCCUAGUUAGGUGGAGUAACAGCCCGAGUGGCGAUUGCACUGGUAAUUGCCUAAUUCGAGUCAGGUGCGCUAUAGGUGCGGGAUCACGCAUAAAUGGUUCUGUGUAUUGAGAGUAGGCUGUUGUAAGUUCUGUUGCUGCUUUCCUGCUGAGCGGUUCUCGUAUGGGGAUUCUGGAGCUGAGUCGCGCAUCCAUUUGGUAUGCGUGACGGGCUGUGUUUACCUAUCGCGGCUUGACAGUGGGAAGACUGAUUUGCGGAAAAUCAGUGGACGAGCGAGUAAUAUCGCCAUGAGUGCAGCAAGUUGAUUGGGACCGUGACCUGGCUUCCCCUUCUCUGUUUCGUAUUUAAUUAUUCCCUUUGGGAAUUCGUUCUUCUUCGCCCCGUCUCUCUGCCGUGCGCUGCUUUUGCCUCGCUUCUUCUGUUCCUGUGACGACCUGUAUCCAGUGGACUCGACGCUGGGGAGCGCGAGACUCGCGCAGCCCGCUCUCAUUGGUUGCUGCUGAUCGCCCCGCACUGUUUCAAAUGAACUGGACGAGUGUUUGUGGACUUCGGGUGGUGUAUGAAUGAACCAAUAAAAUAGUGCGAGUUGGGUGAGUGGUUGUCGGUUGUGCGUAUAUAUGUGUGUAAAUGCCCUUGCGAGAAACGCAUACUGACACUGGUGUGUCUUUUAAGGAGUGAGUGGUUCGUGUGUGUGUGUGUGUGUGUGUGUGUGUGUGUGUGUGCACUUGUUUUUAUAUACCGGUGGGGACUUGGACCUGACUGCACACCAAACCCGUGGGGACCACUUGGGCGGUGGGGACCUGAGCCCAGGUCCCCACAGGCACAUCCAUUGAAAAUGAUAGAAAUGGCCAUUUUAGCAUGUUUGGCAGUAUAACCCUAAAAAUGCCCCAAGUCCUCACGGGGUAGGUUUCGCGGACAAAAAGUGUUUGUGUGUAUAAACUGUGUUUCAGAGUGCGCCCUCUAUGGUCAAAACCGGAACUACUGUGUGUGUGUUUUUUAAAGGGAUAAUUCACCCAAAAAUGAAACUUCUGUCAUCAUUUACUCAUCCUU